rnacentral:rRNA from 1 species
AACGAACGCUGGCGGCAUGCCUAACACAUGCAAGUCGAACGAGACCUUCGGGUCUAGUGGCGCACGGGUGCGUAACGCGUGGGAACCUGCCCUUAGGUUCGGAAUAACUCCCCGAAAGGGGUGCUAAUACCGGAUAAUGUCUUCGGACCAAAGAUUUAUCGCCUUUGGAUGGGCCCGCGUUGGAUUAGCUAGUUGGUAGGGUAAAAGCCUACCAAGGGGACGAUCCAUAGCUGGUCUGAGAGGAUGAUCAGCCACACUGGGACUGAGACACGGCCCAGACUCCUACGGGAGGCAGCAGUGGGGAAUAUUGGACAAUGGGCGAAAGCCUGAUCCAGCAAUGCCGCGUGAGUGAUGAAGGCCUUAGGGUUGUAAAGCUCUUUUACCCGAGAUGAUAAUGACAGUACCGGGAGAAUAAGCGCCGGCUAACUCCGUG